AACUUUUAACAAUGGAUCACUUGGAUCUCGCAUCGAUGAAGAACGCAGCGAAUUGCGAUAAGUAAUGUGAAUUGCAGAUUUCCAGUGAAUCAUCGAAUCUUUGAACGCACCUUGCGCCCCUUGGUAUUCCGAGGAGCAUGCCUGUUUGAGUGUCAUCGAAUUCUCAACCAUGUCUUGAUUGAUUUCAAGUGCAUGGCUUGGACCUUGGGGGUUGCUGGCGGCCAAUCAUGGCCAUCAGCUCUCCUGAAAUGCAUUAGCAAUGGGUUGUCUGGUCUAUUGAUGUGCACGGCCUUCGACGUGAUAAUGAUCGUCGUGGCUGGAGCGUCUUUAAGACCAUGCAUGAAUAGCCUAAGCUUCUAAUAAUAAUAAAGAUAAGAUUUGGAUCCGUUCGUCUUGGAGAAACUGAG
rnacentral:misc_RNA from 1 species